GCAGUCGAGGGGUAACAUUGGUGCUUGCACUAGAUGACGACCGGCGCACGGGUGCGUAACGCGUAUACAAUUUACCUUAUACAGGGAGAUAGCCUUUAGAAAUGAAGAUUAAUACCCCAUAGUAUUAUAGAGUGGCAUCACUUUAUAAUUAAAGAUUUAUCGGUAUAAGAUGAGUAUGCGUUCUAUUAGUUAGUUGGUAAGGUAACGGCUUACCAAGACUUCGAUAGAUAGGGGUCCUGAGAGGGAGAUCCCCCACACUGGUACUGAGACACGGACCAG
rnacentral:rRNA from 1 species